GAUGAACGCUAGCGGCAGGCUUAACACAUGCAAGUCGAGGGGCAGCACGUCUUCGGAUGGUGGCGACCGGCGCACGGGUGCGUAACGCGUAUACAAUCUACCUUUUACAGGGGCAUAGCCCGGGGAAACCCGGAUUAAUAUCCCAUGGUAUCAUUUAGUGGCAUCACUUGAAUGAUUAAAGUUUCGGCGGUAAAAGAUGAGUAUGCGUUCUAUUAGCUAGAUGGUAAGGUAACGGCUUACCAUGGCUACGAUAGAUAGGGGUCCUGAGAGGGAGAUCCCCCACACUGGUACUGAGACACGGACCAGACUCCUACGGGAGGCAGCAGUGAGGAAUAUUGGACAAUGGGCGAGAGCCUGAUCCAGCCAUGCCGCGUGCAGGAAGACUGCCCUAUGGGUUGUAAACUGCUUUUAUACGGGAAGAAACACCUCUUCGUGAAGAGGCUUGACGGUACCGUAUGAAUAAGGAUCGGCUAACUCCG
rnacentral:rRNA from 1 species